UACAAUUGUUAGAAGGCCUUUUAGUGUAGCCAAAUGUAAUUGUCAGAAGGCCUUUUAGUGUAGCCAAAUAUAAGUGUUAGAAGGCCUUUUAGUGUAGCCAAAUAUAAGUGUUAGAAGGCCUUUUAGUGUAGCCAAGUAAAAGUGUUAGAAGGCCUUUUAGUGUAGCCAAGUAAAAGUGUUAGAAGGCCUUUUAGUGUAGCCAAAUAUAAGUGUUAGAAGGCCUUUUAGUGUAGCCAAGUAAAAGUGUUAGAAGGCCUUUUAGUAUAGCCAGAUAUAAGUGUUAGAAGGCCUUUUAGUGUAGCCAAAUAUAAGUGUCAGAAGGCCUUUUAGUGUAGCCAAAUAUAAGUGUUAGAAGGCCUUUUAAUGUAGCCGAAUAUGUGUUAGAAGGCCUUUUAGUGUAGCCAAAUAUAAGUGUUUGAAGGCCUUUUAGUGUAGCCAAAUAUAAGUGUUAGAAGGCCUUUUAGUGUAGCCAAAUAUAAGUGUCAGAAGGCCUUUUAGUGUAGCCAAAUAUAAGUGUCAGAAGGCCUUUUAGUGUAGCCAAAUAUAAGUGUUAGAAGGCCUUUUAGUGUAGCCAAAUAUAAGUGUUAGAAGGCCUUUUAGUGUAGCCAAGUAUAAGUGUUAGAAGGCCUUUUAGUGUAGCCAAAUAUAAGUGUUAGAAGGCCUUUUAGUGUAGCCAAAUAUAAGUGUUAGAAGGCCUUUUAGUGUAGCCAAAUAUAAGUGUCAGAAGGCCUUUUAGUGUAGCCAAAUAUAAGUGUUAGAAGGCCUUUUAGUGUAGCCAAAUAUAAGUGUUAGAAGGCCUUUUAGUGUAGCCAAAUAUAAGUGAUAGAAGGCCUUUUAGUGUAGCCAAAUAUAAGUGUUAGAAGGCCUUUUAGUGUAACCAAAUAUAAUUGUUAGAAGGCCUUUUAGUGUAACCAAAUAUAAUUGUUAGAA